CAAGCGCGUGGAGCAUGUGGCUUAAUUUGACUCAACACGGGAAAUCUUACCGGGUCCGGACAUACCGAGGAUUGACAGACAGUUAACUUGCCCUACCUAUAGGAGCUAGGUUCUAAACCUAAUAGCUCUUUCAUGAUUAUAUGAUAGGUGGUGCAUGGCCGUUCUUAGUUCGUGGAGUGAUCUGUCUGCUUAAUUGCGUUUCAAAAUAUGAAUUUGAGUACCAGGUCCCAAGUGUUUCAAGUAAAUCUGUCUCUGAGUGUGAACUGUAUCUCUUCGGAUAUGCGACUAUCACUCUUAGGCAAUUAUGAUUUGCUUGUAGCCCCUGGUACUCUUUUGAACGCAACGGACGUGAUUGCAACCCCUUGUUGAGUUUGCUUCUCUUAGGAACUCUACGUCUACUGAUCCACCUACCUUAGCAGGUAGGUGGUGAGGUGGAUAAACUCGGGGGACUGCUGACUAUAACCAUUUCUCAAAACAGAGGAAGGUUGCGGCAAUAACAGGUCUGUGAUGCCCUCAGAUGUCCCGGGCUGCACACGUGCUACAAUGAGUAGCGCAGUGUGUACAUUUUGAAGAGUGAUAGGUGCUGGGGUUGUACAUUUUAAAGGGCUCGUCCUAGUAACCAACCGCCCCCAAGCAUCUAUCAACCUUCCCUUUACAGGGUGGGUAACCUCUUCGAAGUGCUGGUUUGAUUUCCCUAGUGUUUGUCAUAAUAAUCCUCGUCGCACCUACUCUAGGACAUAGUGAACAUUGUAGACUUUGUCAUAAUGAUUCCCGUCUUAGGUUUGCGACGCAUGCUUUUCCUGGUUGACUCAUCGUGGGAACUGAUUCUUGUAAUUAUUUGUCACGGUUCAACCAGGAAUGCCUUGUACUGGCGGCUCAUUAAACCGCUCGGUAUACGUCCCUGCCCUUUGUACACACCGCCCGUCGCUCUUACCGAUGACUUUGACUGUGAGUAGGCUGGAUCGAAAUGGGAAAGCUGUCAAACAGUUAGAGUUAAAGGAAAGAGAAGUCGUAACAAGGCAUCAGUAGGUGAACCUGCUGAGGAUCA
rnacentral:rRNA from 1 species